rnacentral:misc_RNA from 1 species
UCUCCGUUGGUGAACCAGCGGAGGGAUCAUUACCGAGCGCAAACUCAUAACCCUUUGUGAACCUAUAUCUGUUGCUUCGGCGGCUCGCUCUCGGGCGAGCCCGCCGGUAAUAUCAGUAUCUCUGUUUGAACCCGUCGAUACUUCUGAGUGUUCUUAGCGAACAGUUAAAACUUUUAACAACGGAUCUCUUGGCUCUA